GUUCUUGGUAGUUGCCAGAGUAUUGCUUUAGUGUUCUGGGAGGAUGCAAUGGUGUCACUGCAUACAGUAGGUGCUGUUUAUUAGUCACUAAGGUGUUCUAGGUGGUUGUCAGGGUGUUGCUAAGGUGUCCUGGGUGGUUUCCAGGAUGUUGCUAAGGUGUUCUUGGUGGUUGUCAGGGUGUUGCUCAAGUGUUCUGGGUGGUUGCAAUUGUGUCGCUACAUGGGUGCUGUUUAGUAAUUGCUAGGGUGUUCUAGGUGGUUGCCAGGGUGUUGCUAAGGGGUUCUGGGUAGCUGUCAGGGUGUUGCUAAGUGGUUGCUAGCAUGUCCAAGGUGUCUGGAAGUGGCCACUGAGGUGAUCUGGGUGAUUGUUAGAAUGUUACUAAGGCUAUCAGCUGUGGUUGCUAGGGUGUUGGUAAAUUGUUCCUUACUGGCCCAAGUAUAUGGAGAUUGUUUUUUUUUUUUUUUUACCUAUUUUCUCAUUCACCAGAUGAAAAAUGUGCUUGAUCUGAGAUAAGACAACACAAAAAAUGUGAAUGUUUAGUAUAAUUCUAAGCUGUCAUUCCAUACCUAAAAAUGUAACAAGCUGUGACAAUUUGUCCAAUUUUCCUUUAUCACCAGAUGCAAAACGUAAGAUUUUGUGUCUCCGAGUUGUUCUUGCAGCUUUCUCAAGAUGUUUCCAGCCAUCCUAAUAGAGAAAAAUACUAGUUUAUUGUACAUGUCUCGGCCUGAAGUUGUUUCUCCUGAAAUGUCAAACACCUGUAGUGCAAAGAGAAAAAGAGGUUAUUACAGCAAAGACGAGAAUCUCACCAGGUUUGUGACGGUUGGCUCUGUGGUUCUCCAGACAGACCCACGAUGGACAAAAGUGCUCACAUUUACUCACAGUCUCCCAUGGAGGGGUCACUGACCACCAUUUAUUUGAGGG
ensembl:lncRNA